UCUGCCCGUUGUUUCCUACUCCAGACCCUCCUGAACCACCACCACCACCAUCACUACCACUACUACUACCAUUACCACCAUUACCACCACUACCACAACCACAACCACCACACCAUUUUAGUGUUUUAUAAAAGCUCGUUUCGGCAACAUUUUCAACACGCGUCUUUUUUUUUUUUUCUCUCUAUCUAAAAACAUAUCCAAUAGUUUGCUAAUCGCUUUAACAUCUAUGUAGCUUUCAAAGAUGUUUUUGUCCAUGUAACUUCUUUUCUCUUUCCGCCAGUGUCAGUGAGUAGUGUCCUGAUUUUCCCUCCAUCACAUCUCCUGCCGCCCUCCUCCUCUCUGACAGUCUGCUGGCUCGUUCGUUCUUUAGAUAUAAGUCAGGAGGCAGAUUAUUACUAUCGAAAAACCUUCACUCCUGCUCACUUAUUCACUGCCCGAGUUAUAGGAUCGUUACAGGAUCAGAAGCCGAGUAUAAAGUAUCUGUUUGGAUGCAUCAGGAAUGCUAGCUGUGAAAGUCUGUUUUUUCCCUCACUUUUGUUCUUUAAAAUCAUUGAUGUUAUUUUGUUUUCAUGUUUCAGAUGUUGGUCUUCACUUGGCGGAGAGAAGUAACAUCACGGCACGUUUUGAUAUCAGUCAGGAAAUUGCUUGAACCUUGGCGGCGUGACAAGAGCAGACAUCAGGUAAUUUCCGGACGCCAUACUCACCUCAUUGAGCGACACGCAGGCAACAGGUGACUCAUUACUACCCCUGACCCGCCUCUAUCCCUUCCACCCCCCCACACAUCAGUGAUCUCCCGCACCUGGCAAGCCCCAUACAUUACAAGACGCCCAGCGCGCCUCCCUCCCCAGUGCCGAGACAACAUGGGCGUCCUUCUCUACCUCUGGCGGCGGCUCUCUAGCGAUUGAGCCGGCACCAACAACAGCACACGUCGGGAAUGGUGAGUAGGAUGUGUACUUUUGUAUAUUUGUGUAUUAUUUACGAGAUUUAGAUAAUGUCUUUCACUCUGUCUGAGAUGCGGGCCUGUCUCCUGAGAACAUCAAUAACUCCACAUUUGUUCUGGCCGCCUGACAGUCAUGCCUGACCUUUCAUGAUGUUGUCCGUGUCUUUGUGAGCAUGGCGCCGCGGAGACGGUGUUCAACUUCAGAAAGUUAUACAGUUCACAGACAACGGAAGCGUUUGCGCAGCCACCAGCCCCA